GGACUGGUAGCUCAGUUGCAAGAGCACCACUGUACCAUGCUGGAGGCCACAGGUUCAAUCCCUCUCUAGUCCA
rfam:Paxillus rubicundulus Ve08.2h10 scaffold_3135_c1, whole genome shotgun sequence.